UACGGAGGGUGCAAGCGUUAUCCGGAAUCACUGGGUUUAAAGGGUGCGUAGGCGGUUCGAUAAGUCAGUCGUGAAAUCACAUGGCUUAACCAUAGUAAUUGCGAUUGAUACUGUUGAACUUGAAUUAGGUUGAGGUAGGCGGAAUGAGACAUGUAGCGGUGAAAUGCAUAGAUAUGUCUUAGAACACCGAUUGCGAAGGCAGCUUGCUGGACCUAUAUUGACGCUGAGGCACGAAAGCGUGGGGAGCAAACAGG
rnacentral:rRNA from 1 species